GAAAAAACUUGAAAACAAAUCUGGCCAAGUACCACAAUGAGCAGGGAUGGGCUUUCUAAAUUUUUAGAAAUAUCUGGCUACCUUUGAAGUCUUGCUUGUAAUACUAUCGCUUGCAGUUUCAGAAUUACUUCUAUAAUGGCAAUAAUUUAAAAUGUCUAGAUACCCAAAAGUGUGCGGGCUCUUGUAAAUACAGAUUGCGUAAUAUGUCAUAAUUUCUUCAGUGCCUUAGCGAGUAGUGUUACGUUAUGCCUCACAGCUGGGCUUCGGUUGCGUAACAGCACCGUUACCUGUACACGUUGCCUGUUGACACGUGGAAGUCGCGCGCCGGUUACGUGGCUGCGUUGCUUUGCUAUAUAAAGCGUUCGUAUGUGGCGCGUAAGUUCAGUGUCUACCUGUGUCAGAAGCAAGCAGAAUCGAAGAAUGGACGAGUUUCGCAGUGAGCUGUGCAGUGGGGAGUGUGCUGUGGAGGUAGUCGAAGCUCAUGUGGGUGUGAAAGCAUCAAAUAAAGCAACCCACAUGAUAAUGGGAAAGGAGUUAGCCUCAGCCGUCGUCAGAAGAAGAAGGUCGCUCUAAAACACAAGGAAAAUCAAGAUGGCAUCCCAACAAACAUGAGCAAGAGCCUAGCCAAAGGUUUUCGAUCAGUCGAUUCUGGACACGGGAAAAUAAAUGGAGAAAUCAUCAUCAGUGCCCCCGCACUACGCCUGCAUUCCCAGAUGAACCUGAGGAACAGAAUUCUUUCGAUAUUUCUGAGUCAUUAUAUCUUAAGUUCCGAUCAGCUUCUACAACUAGGCUACCCCGUCGAUAGUCGCGUACGUCCUGGAGAAGCAGUUAUCUACAAAGACCCUACUGUUUACACACUUUUCCAACGGGGCAUAACUUUCUCACGAUUAAAUGUCAAUGCUACAGAAUUCGUUCCUUUACGGGUGACGGAAAAUUGCCAACAGGAAGCACAUCAAAUAUCAUGGAAAACGACCAAGGCUGUUAGAUAAGGCCGUAAGUGAAACUGCAGGCAAUCAGAACAGUGAUACGUUUAGUGGUAACCGUGGUGUCGCUGCAUUUCUCUGUGAUUUGAAACUCAACUACGCUACGAAGGAGGCCGGUGUGAAGGUUCUAGCAGAGGCUGAAGUGUGAAAUUUCAAGGCGUUAACGAAAGAGAAGGACAGUAAAUCAUCAAACGGUACCCUGAAGAGCGAGGGCGAAGAUCAGCAGUUGAGUGAUACUAGUGAGAAGAAGUGUGCCCGCUGUGGUCGUAUUUUCUUUUAACAAUGGACAGGAAAUACGCGACUGAAGAAAAAUUUAUUUAUCACUGGGGCAAGUUAGAGAAGGCAGUGGCGCCCCAGCCCCACAAGGUCGUUGCUGUCGGUGCUGUGAGAACUAGAAAGCAGUGCAGUUGAUGUGGAGGUAGUCGAAGUUCAUGUGCUUCAUGUGGGUGUAGUGUGGGAGUGAAAGCAUAAAAUAAAGCAACCCACAUGAUAAUGGGAAAGGAGUUAUCCUCAGCCGUCAUAAGAAGAAGUUCGCUCUUCAACACAAGGAAAAUCAAGAUGGCAUCCAAACAAAGACGAGCAAGAGCAGAGCCAGAGGUUUUCGGUCAGUCGAUUCUGGACACAGGAAAAUAAAUGGACAAAUCAUCAUCAGUCCCCCCGCACUAUGCCUGCAUUCCCAGAUGAACCUAACGAACAGAAUCCUUUGGAUAUUUCUGAGUCAUUGUAUCUUAAGUUCUGAUCAGCUUCUACAUCUAGGCUACCCCGUCGAUAGUCACGUACAUCCUGGAAAAGCAGUUAUCUACAAAGAUCCUACUGUUUACAUACUCUUUCAACGGGGCACAGCUUCCUCACGAUUAAACGUCAGUGCUACUGAAUUCGUUCAUUUAUGGGCGACUGAACAUUGCCAACAGGAAUCGCAUGCCAUCACACCAACAAGAAGCACAUCAAAUAUGGAAAACGACCAAGGCUAUUAGAUAAGGCUGUAAGUGAAACAGCAGGCAGUCAGAACAGUGAUACAUUUAGUGGUAACCGUGGUGUAGCUGCAUUUCUCUGUCAUAUGAAACUCAGCUACGAAGGAGGACGGUGUGAAGGUACUAGCAGAGGCUGAAGUGUGAAAUUUCAAGGCGUCAUGAAAGAGAAGGACAGUAAAUCAUGAAACGGUACCCUGAAGAGUGAGGGCGAAGAUCAGCAGUUGAGUGAUACUAGUGAGAAGAAGUGUGCCCACUGUGGUCGUGGUUUCUAUUUAACAAUGGACGGGAAAUACGUGACUCAAGAAAAACUUAUUUAUCACUGGGGCAAGUUAGAGAAGGCAGUGGCGCCCCAGCCCCACAAGGUCAUUUCCGUUGGUGCUGUGAGAGCUAGAAGACAGUACAGUUGCUGUGGAGGUAGUCGAAUUUCAUGUGGGUGUAGUUUGGGAGAAUUACAUUUGUGGAAUGGCAUCGGCCCUGGAGUAAAUGACACACUUGAUGGUUAUGUUCAAACUCGUGUUCAUAAGACUUCCCCCUGAUGGGAAUUUUGGUAUUUAUGCAGUAGACUGUGAGAUGUGUUACACAGCAUGUGGCACUGAACUAAUUAAAUCAAAUUAGAGUGACUGUGGUGGCCUCCGAUGGUCAUCUCGUGUACGACAGGUUGGUGAAGCCAGAGAGCGACAUUAUAGAAUAUAACACGAGGUUUUCAGGAAUCACGGUACAUGAUCUCAGCGAGAAUGCCACAAAAUCAUUAUGGGAUGUCCAGAACGAUUUAAUGGGCUUCAUAAAUGCUGAUACUAUACUUGUGGGUCAUGGAUUAGAGAAUGACCUUCUUGCCCUGCGCAUUACCCACGGCAGUGGGGUUGACACAUCUGUAAUAUUUCCUCACUCUAAUGGUCUUCCAUAUCCUCGGUCCCUGAAGUCACUCGGAAGCGAGUUCUUGGAGAGAGAGAUUCAGCAGGAUCAAUUUGGACAUUGCAGUUUUGAGGAUGCAAGGGCCUGCAUGGAAGUGAUUGUUAUGGAGGCCAGAAAAGAUUUUGACUACAUUUUUCAAAGUGGUGUACAAAAUUUUUUGCAGUUGCAGAAUAAAUUUGCAUGUAUAUGAUGUUAAAAGAUUUUGCCUUUUAAUUAUUCUGUUGUUUCUUAAGAGUCCUGUUGUUCUGAGUUUAUUCACCAAAUUAUGAAUUUUGUCUGUUGUGAACUUUCAUUCCAAAAUUUUUGCUAACAUUUUCUAGCAUAUCUGUAUUUCACAUAGGUGUGAUGCAGAAAUAUGCGUUGCUCUGAAGUAUAUCGAGCCCUGCCAUGCAACGCCACACUGCUGACUGUUAACUGGGAACAGAUGGCUCAUGCUGACAACUGUUGAAAAAUCAUAAACAAGCUCUCAUUUAUGAAUAUAAUAUUAUGUAGAGAUCUACAAGAUACCUUCCCUCAUUGACAAAUAAAAGGGUUGUAACAAGGCUGCCUCAUCAUGCCGCUUUGGAAUUCAGUACGACAAGACAGUGAUAUAGACAAGGCAAAAAAACUUACAGCAGUUAAGGUAGAUGACAACUGUAUCCUGUAGCAAUGAAUAUUGAAAUUUUUGAUGAAGUUUUGUCGCAGCCUAACUGAUAAUUUUCUGAAUUAGGAGAUUGCACUGAUACAUUUUUUAUGUUUUAUCAUGACCAAAUUGAUGAUGGUGAAGUUUAGUGAUCUGAUUGGCAGGUGAUAUAUUCCUACAUUCGGUGAGCUCACAGUUCCUAUGGGUUGGGUUGGUUUUUAUAGAUACUCAGCUAAUUUUGUUGUGUUUUAGAAGUGGCUUUGUCUCUUUUCAGCAGUGAAACUUCUCGAAAUGAGAUUGAUGUAUAUUGGAAUGAAUAAACGUUUACAUCUCCCGUAACCUUGUUAAAGCAAAAUGAAAGACUAAUAUUGGUUUCACUUCUCAUAUAUACAUUACUCUUACUUGAUACAAUUCACUGAUGAUAGUGAUGAUAGCCACAACACAACUCUACCCAUGUGAUGUACAUAAAUAUUACAGUAUAUAAAAAUAUGGGCUAAGCUACCAAAAACCAAUAUGAAAUAAGCAUUAAUAAAUCAAACCAAAGUAAAUCUACCUAGUCUAAGCAUCUUGAAGUCUUCUUGCAUGUGCAUCAGACCAUCUGAUUGUCACUGAGAUUGUCUGCAAAGUCUGCAACCUCCAUAAGGUAGGGAGGUCUGUUGUCUUUGGCAGGUUCCUGGGGCAUACUUCUCAGUUCAGAAGUGAGGCUACCAGUGCCAUUGCUAAGGAAGACAUUUUGCGUGGAGACCAGGUAUCAGCUGAAGUCGUGGGCAGUAGUGUCCAUGCCUAUCUUUGCACUAACGAGUCUUCUUGGCAAGACAAGGGGACCAACACAAAGCAGCGGAUUGUGAGCAGUGAGAGUGUCUGUUCAGGUGUGGCAGCCCUCAGCAGCAUCAGAAGAGAGAAAGAUAUGGUCACAUCUUCAGAUUUAUCACACUCGCUUAACAGGCAGACAUUUGUUGUGAGGUGAUCCACCACCCAUUUGUCUGCAGUGCAGUGCACUCUGUACUGUUCCUGAUAUAUAAUGAAUGUCAUACAUUUCACUGCAUCCUUGACAAUGAACACAGUGGCAUGUAUGACAGUCUGGCAUUCAUAAAUAGUAUGGGUCUUGCAAAGUAUGAGGCCUGAUCAGAAGGUAGCGUCUGGUGAGCUGUUGGCAAAGCAAGCAAUUUGAAAGAAUGUUAUUUUAUACAAAGGAAAUAUAUACAUAUUUAAUCUGCUCCCUCUACAUCGUCGCCCCCAAUAUUGGGGCCCUUGUGGUAUCAGGGAUUGGCUUUUUGUUUCGCUGUGUUGGGGAAGUCUGGCUGUAGCUCAGCCACAUGUUGACCUGUCAUCAGCUGCUCAUUAUGGCUGAAGCACCGUGAUCUCACCUAGUUCUUCAGAUAGAUAAGCGGGUGGUAAGUUCUUUGAUUGAGAUUAGGGCUGUAAGGAGGGUAGUCUAACAAUUCCCAUUCAAAAUGCUCCAGAAGUGCUAGAGUGUGAGCAGUGUGUGUGUGUGCGUGUGUAUUAUCAUGGAGAAGCACUACAGCAGAUGUCAUUCAAUGUCCUUUGUUCUGUAAAGCCUUGUGCAGUUUCAGUAGUGUUUCAUAAUACAAAAUGUGGCUGAGCUCACAGGCAGUGGAUUUCUUUGGCAUAGGCAUGGAAAAACUUGUUCCCUUAUGCUGCAGAUGCCUCAGUUCUGGUGGUGACAGCAUUGAGAGAUAGCUUUGGUGUGUACGUAUUUUUUGUCUAUAAUCUUUUUUUCUCGUUGUUUUAUUGGCAACUCACAGGAGGUUAUUUUCCGAAUAGGCCUUGCAUAUAUAGGGGUACAUUGUAGCGUAGUUGGUUGAGGCACUAUGCUACAAGCCAGACGGUUUCGGGGUCAAGUCUCAAUGUGGUGGACUUUGUCAAUUGACCUAAUCAUUCUAACUGCACUAUGGGCCUGUCUUUGACUCAGCCUCUAACAGAAAUAUGUACCAGGAAUAUUCCUGGGGGAUGGAGGGUGGCCGGCAUAUAAGGCUAAAAGCCUUACUGCCAUCUUUGAGCCAAUUAUCUAGAUAAUGUGUAACCCUGAAUGUCUGACAACCCUUGGACCUAUGUGGCCUGUUACUGGGAUAGCUUUACUUUUACCUUACCUUUACCAUUUCAAAUGUUAUUGGCCAUGAAGAAUGCUGAGUCAGUGGCAAAACUUGCAUGCAUCCCUCAGCAGAUCAGUCAUUGCGAAGGGCACAGCCGUGAACUUGUCAAUCUGCGUGAAAUUCUCCCUGUAUUUUGUCCUCUGAUUUACUUAUCAAUUUAUAAUAGUCUGGACUCUUCUCUUCUUUUAUUACAUUUUCCUGAAUAGUGCAGUAUUAUAGUAUGAUGAUUUCAGCCUAUUGUCGCCUGAUUUUGUAAGUGUACUAUCCGCAGUCAGUAUAGUGAGUGCCUAUGUGUUACAUGAUUGAAGGGUCAGAGUUCUCAAGUCCUGACAGUCAAGAAUUUUCUUUUCUCCACGUCGUCCAGACAGACUCUGGGGCCUACCCAGCCAAUGGGUACCAGGGGCUAUUUUCCUGUUGGUUGAGCGUCCGGGGCAUGAAGCUGACUACUCACCUCUAACUAAUGCCAAGGCAGAGCUUCUGUAGCAAAGUUAAGGAGCUGGAAUGCUGGUAUGGUUUUGGAAAGAAUGAAGUUACUUGAUGCAAAGGCAAACUGCAAUGUGGGACAUCAUGAGAAGGAGAAAUCUAUGAGUGAUGCUAGAGCAGAAGAACUUGUACAUAUUCCAAAGGUACAACUCCAUGGCCUGCAGUCCGCAAGUGAACUAUAC